CUACGGGUUGCAGCAGUGGGGAAUAUUGGACAAUGGGGGAAACCCUGAUCCAGCAAUGCCGCGUGUGUGAAGAAGGCCUGCGGGUUGUAAAGCACUUUCGGUUGGGAGGACUGCUUCUAGCACUAAUAUUGUUGGAAGUUGACGUUACCUUCAGAAGAAGCACCGGCUAACUCCGUGCCAGCGAGCCGCGGUAAUACGGAGGGUGCAAGCGUUAAUCGGAAUUACUGGGCGUAAAGCGCGCGUAGGCGGCUAGAUCAGUCGGGUGUGAAAGCCCCGGGCUUAACCUGGGAACUGCAUCCGAUACUGUCUAGCUUGAGUACAGGAGAGGAGAGUGGAAUUCCACAUGUAGCGGUGAAAUGCGUAGAUAUGUGGAGGAACACCAAUGGCGAAGGCAGCUCUCUGGCCUGAUACUGACGCUGAGGUGCGAAAGCGUGGGAGCAAACAGGAUUAGAUACCCUUGUAGUC
rnacentral:rRNA from 1 species